rnacentral:rRNA from 1 species
AGUUGUUAUCUGAACCUUCUCGCAUAAAAGGUGGGGGGCGUAAGGUAGCAGUUAGUUUCAUCAUAGUCCACCAGGAUACUCUCGUUGGUGUGUACGUGGGUGUUAACCUUCCUUUUUUCUGGUACUUGCUAUCCAGCAAUGGGUAGUUUGUCCAGAUAGUUUACUUUGAAAAAAUUAGAGUGUUCAAAGCAGGCAUAAUUGGCAUCAUGAAUACAUUAGCAUGGGAUAAUAGAAUAUGACAUUGGUCUUAUUUUGUUGGUUUCUAAGGCCAAAGUAAUGAUUGAUAGGGAUAGUUGGGGCCGCUCGUAUUGAGUUGUCAGAGGUGAAAUUCUAGGAUUUACUCAAGACGAACUAAUGCGAAAGCAUUCGGCAAGGAUGUUUUCAUUAAUCAAGAACGAAAGUUGGGG